AGUUUGAGGCCGGGUUCUUAACAUUUUUACCAUUGUUAUUGUUACCGUUGCAAUUGCUCGUUGCAUCGUUGGCCUGUAGAUAAGCAGUGGAUGGGAUGAAGGUUAGUCUAAGUACGUGCCCCCCCCCGAAACCAACGGACAAAGGUUAGCAGCACUACGAAAUGAUAAUGAUAACAAAACCAAAGGAAAACCAAGAAAAAAAAAACAAUAAUAACAAC